rnacentral:rRNA from 1 species
GAUGAACGUUGGCGGCGUGCCUAAUACAUGCAAGUCGAACGAAGACUGUAGUAAUACUGUCUUAGUGGCGAACGGGUGAGUAACGCGUGGGUGACCUGCCCCGAAGUGUGGGAUAACAGUUCGAAAGAACUGCUAAUACCGCAUAAUAUCCAAGAGAUUAGACGCUUUUUGGAUUAAAGGAGAAAUUCGCUUCGGGAGGGGCCCGCGUCCCAUCAGCUGGUUGGUAGGGUAAUGGCUUACCAAGGCUAUGACGGUUAGGGGACCUGAGAGGGUGGCCCCCCACAAUGGAACUGAAACACGGUCCAUACACCUACGGGUGGCAGCAGUAGGGAAUAUUGGUAAUGCGCGAAAGCGUGAACCAGCAACGCCGCGUGUGCGAUGAAGGCCUUCGGUUGUAAGCACUUUUCGGGUAGGAAGAGGAAGGACUGUACUCCCAGAAUAAGCCUCGGCUAACUACGUG